UACGUAGGGCCCAAGCGUUGUCCGGAAUUAUUGGGCGUAAAGAGCUCGUAGGCGGCUUGUCACGUCGAUUGUGAAAGCCCGAGGCUUAACCUCGGGUCUGCAGUCGAUACGGGCUAGCUAGAGUGUGGUAGGGGAGAUCGGAAUUCCUGGUGUAGCGGUGAAAUGCGCAGAUAUCAGGAGGAACACCCGUGGCGAAAGCGGCUCUCUGGGACGGUACUGACGCUGAGACGCGAAAGCGUGGGGAGCAAACAGG
rnacentral:rRNA from 1 species